rnacentral:misc_RNA from 1 species
GGUUGGGCUUUGGUUUGAUCUGAAUUAGCGGCCAGGCAGAUAACUAAAGUGAAUAAAAAAGAUAAUGCGAAAUUUAAAUCAAAACCUUUAAACUCAUGCCUCUCUGGAUAUUGUUCAUAAUCAUCCUCAGCAACUUGAUCCAACAUUCCAGAAAAGUGAGUAAAGAACAACCCCUCGUCAUCGGCCCGUUCAUAGCCCACCAUCGCUGACAGUCUUUUUCUAUCAUUACCAUCAUCAUCAUCGUCUUCCAAGUUAUGAUCAAACAGUAGAUGGACUCCACACUUGUGUAUGACCUCGCUAAUAAGUUCUCUUUGAUCGGUUCUACCAUAGAAUUGAAAUGAGGCUUCUCUGAUACGGAAUUUCUUAGAAUUAAAAUGAAUGGUGGAAUACCAGAGGGAAAUGUCAUUUAUAUUGAACUUUGAGCAAGAGGAAUUCACAUC